rnacentral:rRNA from 1 species
AGAAUGAACGUUGGCGGCGUGGAUUAGGCAUGCAAGUCGAGCGAGAACUGGCCGCAAGGCUGGGGACAGCGGCGUAAGGGACAGUAAAGUACAGGUACCUACCCUCAGGACCGGGAUAGCUGCGGGAAACUGCAGGUAAUACCGGAUAAUGUCUUCGGACCAAAGGUGUGAGUCCGCCCGUGGAGGGGCCUGUAUCCUAUUAGCUUGUUGGUGAGGUAACGGCUCACCAAGGCCAUGAUGGGUAGCGGGUGUGAGAGCACGACCCGCGUCACUGGGACUGAGACACUGCCCAGACACCUACGGGUGGCUGCAGUCGAGGAUCUUCGGCAAUGGGCGCAAGCCUGACCGAGCGACGCCGCGUGCGGGAUGAAGGCCUUCGGGUUGUAAACCGCUGUCAGUGGGAGGAAACGCCGGUGGGUACUCCCAUCGGUUUGACCUAUCCGCAGAGGAAGUACGGGCUAAGUUCGUGCCAGCAGCCGCGGU